ACUCAAAUGAAUUGACGGGGGCCCGCACAAGCGGUGGAGCAUGUUGUUUAAUACGUCACUAACCGUAGAACCUUACCAGGGCUUGACAUCUGCUGACAACCCAUGAAAGUGGGCCUUCCCCGCAAGGGGACAGCAAGACAGGUGUUGCAUGGCUGUCGUCAGCUCGUGUCGUGAGAUGUUGGGUUAAGUCCCGCAACGAGCGCAACCCCCACCCCAUGUUGCCAGCGGAUGAUGCCGGGCACUCUUGGGGAACUGCCCGGGUAACCGGGAGGAAGGUGGGGACGACGUCAAGUCAGCAUGGCCCUUACGCCCUGGGCUACAAACAUGCUACAAUGGGCGGCAGACAGAGGGACCCGAGGUCGCGAGACGGAGGCAACCCCACAAAUCCGCCCCCAGUUCGGAUCGCAGGCUGCAACUCGCCUGCGUGAAGCCGGAAUCGCUAGUAACCGCCGAUCAGAUAAGCGGCGGUGAAUACGUUCCCGGGCCUUGUACACACCGCCCGU
rnacentral:rRNA from 1 species